GCUUUGCAGCCCGACUUGAACGGAGCUCUUUUUGCCGAAACGAAGUGAAGGCAAAAAGAGCGGGAGUGGAAGGCGGAAAAAGCU
rnacentral:misc_RNA from 1 species